ACAGAGGGUGCGAGCGUUAAUCGGAAUUACUGGGCGUAAAGCGUGCGUAGGUGGUUUAGUAAGUCAGAUGUGAAAGCCCUGGGCUCAACCUGGGAACUGCAUUUGAAACUGCUGGACUAGAGUAUGGUAGAGGGAAGUGGAAUUCAGGGUGUAGCGGUGAAAUGCGUAGAUAUCCUGAGGAACACCAGUGGCGAAGGCGACUUCCUGGACCGAUACUGACACUGAGGCACGAAAGCGUGGGUAGCAAACAGG
rnacentral:rRNA from 1 species